GGUGGGAUAGCUCAGCUGGUAGAGCGAGGGUCUCAUAAUCCCUAGGCCACGGGUUCAAGUCCCGUUCCCACCACCA
rnacentral:tRNA from 1 species